GAUACAAUCUCCUCUCCUCUGCGUGUGAAGCUGGGGAGUGGUAGUUGCCACCAUUUAUAAAGCUGGCACAACAGAAGGCUGCCCUGUGAUUGGUCCCGUAGGGUUUCAUUCCAGCCAUAGGGAUCAGGGCAAGAGAUUGGACAAGAAGGCUAGUGAUCACAUGGAUGACUUCCACACAUCUCUCACCCAGGGAGCUGCUAAGCUAAGACGCCAAAGCCUAUCCUGUCCCAAGGCUCUGUGUAGGUGGUCCAGUAUUGUUGCAGGAGGCUCCAGGACUCCGCAAGGGACUGUUUCUCCGAACAGGGAGAAAAACAGAGUCCACUAUGGAAUCGCUUGCUGACGCAAGAGGGAAGCUGCUCCAAUGACCGUUACUGGUGGUAAGAAGGAACUGAAGAGGUGGCGGGUCAGAAGGGAUCUAUAUAUACGGUCAUAAAAGCACCACUCCAGAGGGCUCCACAGCCAACUCGAUGGGUACCGCUAGGAAAAAACCUUCCGACGAUCGUGCGUGCGGCGUGCACACACCUCCUUCGAAUUGAAAUAAGCAAUCACUCGAAGAACAAGAGGAGCACCCCUUUCUUCUCCAUAUCUAAUAAGUACAGUAACUCCCCACUUAACGUCCUCUCGCUUAACGUUGUUUCGAUCUUACGUCCCUGCUCCAUUACAGAACAUGCUCAUUUAAAGUUGUGCAACGCUCCGCUAUAACAUCGUUUGGCUGCCUGCUUUGUCCACAGCUGGCAGCCCAUCAGCUCCCCUAUGCCCCCCAUCCCCCAGCGCCUCCUGCCUGCUGGCAGACCCCGCAGACCAGCGCCUUCCUCCUGCUCCCCCGGCCUCCUGCCCGGAGCAAUCAGCUGGUUUGCGGCAUUCAGGAGGCUGCAGGGAGGAGUGAGGACGCGGCGCACAGGCUCCCCCUCCCUCCUGAAUGCCGCAAACCAGCUGAUUGCCGCAGGCAGGGGAGGAAGGGGGGAGGCUGUGUGCCGCAUCCUCGCUUCUCCCCCCAGCCUCUUGAAUGCCACAAGACAGGUGAUUGCCGCAGGCAGGAGGCGGAGGGACCGGGGGAAGGCGCUGAUCCGUCGGCGAGCAGGAGGUGCUGGGGGGCAGAGGGAGAGAGGGAGGAGCUGAUAGGGGGGUUGUCAAUCUGUUUAAUACCUGUAUUAAAUUGCUUGUUUAAUGGUAUAAUGAAUGGUAUAAUGGUAUAAUAAAGGUAUAUAAUGCCUUUUGUCUGGCAAAAAAAUUUCCCUGGAACCUAACCCCCCCAUUUACAUUAACUCUUAUGGAGAAAUUGGAUUCACUUAACAUUGUUUUGCUUAAAGUCCGUUUUUCAGGAACAUAACUACGUUAAGUGAGGAGAUACUGUAGAUGAAUCCUUCAUGAACACAAGCCUAAGCACUACACAGAAAACAAGCUUAAAUGACUAUACUUGCAAAAAUAAUAAGAUUAAUCCUCCACAGGGUGAGGUUGGAUUAUAUGCCUGCACUGGCAGGCUAAAAGAGAGGAAAUAACAGAGUGGGGCCUUUUUUGUUCCAAAAUGUUGGCUCUGAAGAGUACAUAUGUGGUUUAACGUUUUGAAAAAAGUUGUGUGGGUGAGACUGUCUCCAUAUUCAGUCAAUUUUUCUGUCUGCUGAAUCUGACAACAAUUGUGCCAAAUAUGAUGGUAGUUUUGUGAUAUGGAUACAUGUCCGUUAGAUGGAGAUCAAUAAUUUAUUUCAGACAGGCUACUAAGAUGUGGACAGAUUAGUGAAAAUGAAACAAGAUAAUCUUUACAUUAGGAAUACUCAUAAAUAUCAGUUGUGUAAGUAGAAUGCAGUUUAUUAUCUAACAUUUAAGAGAGUGAUUUAAUAUUUAAAUAUAUGUUUACCUG